AGCGUACACGGUGGAUGCCCUGGCAGUCAGAGGCGAUGAAGGACGUGCUAAUCUGCGAUAAGCGUCGGUGAGGUGAUAUGAACCGUUAUAACCGGCGAUUUCCGAAUGGGGAAACCCAGUGUGUUUCGACACACUAUCAUUAACUGAAUCCAUAGGUUAAUGAGGCGAACCGGGGGAACUGAAACAUCUAAGUACCCCGAGGAAAAGAAAUCAACCGAGAUUCCCCCAGUAGCGGCGAGCGAACGGGGAGGAGCCCAGAGCCUGAAUCAGUGUGUGUGUUAGUGGAAGCGUCUGGAAAGGCGCGCGAUACAGGGUGACAGCCCCGUACACAAAAAUGCACAUAUUGUGAGCUCGAUGAGUAGGGCGGGACACGUGGUAUCCUGUCUGAAUAUGGGGGGACCAUCCUCCAAGGCUAAAUACUCCUGACUGACCGAUAGUGAACCAGUACCGUGAGGGAAAGGCGAAAAGAACCCCGGCGAGGGGAGUGAAAAAGAACCUGAAACCGUGUACGUACAAGCAGUGGGAGCCUCUUUAUGGGGUGACUGCGUACCUUUUGUAUAAUGGGUCAGCGACUUAUAUUCUGUAGCAAGGUUAACCGAAUAGGGGAGCCGAAGGGAAACCGAGUCUUAACUGGGCGUUAAGUUGCAGGGUAUAGACCCGAAACCCGGUGAUCUAGCCAUGGGCAGGUUGAAGGUUGGGUAACACUAACUGGAGGACCGAACCGACUAAUGUUGAAAAAUUAGCGGAUGACUUGUGGCUGGGGGUGAAAGGCCAAUCAAACCGGGAGAUAGCUGGUUCUCCCCGAAAGCUAUUUAGGUAGCGCCUCGUGAAUUCAUCUCCGGGGGUAGAGCACUGUUUCGGCAAGGGGGUCAUCCCGACUUACCAACCCGAUGCAAACUGCGAAUACCGGAGAAUGUUAUCACGGGAGACACACGGCGGGUGCUAACGUCCGUCGUGAAGAGGGAAACAACCCAGACCGCCAGCUAAGGUCCCAAAGUCAUGGUUAAGUGGGAAACGAUGUGGGAAGGCCCAGACAGCCAGGAUGUUGGCUUAGAAGCAGCCAUCAUUUAAAGAAAGCGUAAUAGCUCACUGGUCGAGUCGGCCUGCGCGGAAGAUGUAACGGGGCUAAACCAUGCACCGAAGCUGCGGCAGCGACACUAUGUGUUGUUGGGUAGGGGAGCGUUCUGUAAGCCUGUGAAGGUGGCCUGUGAGGGUUGCUGGAGGUAUCAGAAGUGCGAAUGCUGACAUAAGUAACGAUAAAGCGGGUGAAAAGCCCGCUCGCCGGAAGACCAAGGGUUCCUGUCCAACGUUAAUCGGGGCAGGGUGAGUCGACCCCUAAGGCGAGGCCGAAAGGCGUAGUCGAUGGGAAACAGGUUAAUAUUCCUGUACUUGGUGUUACUGCGAAGGGGGGACGGAGAAGGCUAUGUUGGCCGGGCGACGGUUGUCCCGGUUUAAGCGUGUAGGCUGGUUUUCCAGGCAAAUCCGGAAAACCAAGGCUGAGGCGUGAUGACGAGGCACUACGGUGCUGAAGCGACAAAUGCCCUGCUUCCAGGAAAAGCCUCUAAGCAUCAGGUAACAUCAAAUCGUACCCCAAACCGACACAGGUGGUCAGGUAGAGAAUACCAAGGCGCUUGAGAGAACUCGGGUGAAGGAACUAGGCAAAAUGGUGCCGUAACUUCGGGAGAAGGCACGCUGAUAUGUAGGUGAAGCGACUUGCUCGUGGAGCUGAAAUCAGUCGAAGAUACCAGCUGGCUGCAACUGUUUAUUAAAAACACAGCACUGUGCAAACACGAAAGUGGACGUAUACGGUGUGACGCCUGCCCGGUGCCGGAAGGUUAAUUGAUGGGGUUAGCGGUAACGCGAAGCUCUUGAUCGAAGCCCCGGUAAACGGCGGCCGUAACUAUAACGGUCCUAAGGUAGCGAAAUUCCUUGUCGGGUAAGUUCCGACCUGCACGAAUGGCGUAAUGAUGGCCAGGCUGUCUCCACCCGAGACUCAGUGAAAUUGAACUCGCUGUGAAGAUGCAGUGUACCCGCGGCAAGACGGAAAGACCCCGUGAACCUUUACUAUAGCUUGACACUGAACAUUGAGCCUUGAUGUGUAGGAUAGGUGGGAGGCUUUGAAGUGUGGACGCCAGUCUGCAUGGAGCCGACCUUGAAAUACCACCCUUUAAUGUUUGAUGUUCUAACGUUGGCCCGUAAUCCGGGUUGCGGACAGUGUCUGGUGGGUAGUUUGACUGGGGCGGUCUCCUCCUAAAGAGUAACGGAGGAGCACGAAGGUUGGCUAAUCCUGGUCGGACAUCAGGAGGUUAGUGCAAUGGCAUAAGCCAGCUUGACUGCGAGCGUGACGGCGCGAGCAGGUGCGAAAGCAGGUCAUAGUGAUCCGGUGGUUCUGAAUGGAAGGGCCAUCGCUCAACGGAUAAAAGGUACUCCGGGGAUAACAGGCUGAUACCGCCCAAGAGUUCAUAUCGACGGCGGUGUUUGGCACCUCGAUGUCGGCUCAUCACAUCCUGGGGCUGAAGUAGGUCCCAAGGGUUCGGCUGUUCGCCGAUUAAAGUGGUACGUGAGCUGGGUUCAGAACGUCGUGAGACAGUUCGGUCCCUAUCCAUCGCGGGCGCAAGAAACUUGAAGGGGGCUGCUCCUAGUACGAGAGGACCGGAGUGGACGAACCGCUGGUGUACCAAUUAUCCUGCCAAGGGUACAGUUGGGUAGCUACGUUCGGGACGGAUAAACGCUGAAAGCAUCUAAGCGUGAAACCAGCCUUGAGAUGAGGUUUCU
rnacentral:rRNA from 1 species